CAGCUGUCACUCGCUUUUUACAAUUAGACCCGUUUGGUUGUUGUUCGUGCGGCGCUCGCGUUUUUGAGGUGCAUUGGAAUUGUUGGGAACUGGUCGGUUUUAUUAAUUGUUUAUAAUUAUAUUUCGUAUGUACAUGGUAUGAUAACAAAAAAAAAUACAUGAUUAAAUAUUUAACCUCAUAGAAGAGCCUUUUUCGUAGCAAAGGCGAUUGUAAAACGCGAGAGUGUGAAGUGUUAUGAUGGUGAAAAAGCUUGCAAAAUAAAGGGAAAACCCAAAUAAUAAAAGCAAAAGUAGCGCAUUACACAAAUUAACAAAGCUGCAUAUAUAAUACUUAAAAAUUUAAAAGUGUUUUUAGAAAGGCAUCAAUUGCAUACACAUUUCGCUCCAUCAAACAAGAUCGUGAAAAAGAUAGUUGGAAUAAGCGUACAAUUGGAAGUUACACGAUGUGGAGUCCAACGCAUAUACAAGUGACAGUUCAACGUGCGAAAGGUCUGCUGACAAAAGGCAAAAAUGGCACCAACAAUUGUUUCGUCACGAUUUCGCUGGGUAAAGAGAAAUACCAGACAUCAGUUAAAGACAAAGCGGAAACAAAUGUCAGCUGGAAUGAAGAAUGUGAACUCAAAAUUCCUGAUCAAGGCAACCGUGCUGAAUUGACAUUGACUUGCCUACAUCGCAAUAAUCUCGGCAUCGAUGAAUUUCUCGGUCAGGCCACAUUGCCACUGAAUGAAAUGGACGUUUACGACCGUCCACGUUCUAAAUGGUUCAAACUAGAGAGUAAACCUGGCAAAGAGAAAAAGAAUAAAGAGCGCGGUGAGCUGGAAGUUCGUAUUUCCUUCGUAGUCAAAUCUGGCUCACUGACUGAUCUGAGCAAAAAAGAAAAGCACAAGUCUUCCAUUGGCCAGCUGGCUUCUUCCGUGGGUGGCAGUCUGCUUUCGAUUGGCACAAUAGAAAAACGCAAAGGUAUUAAGAAGUUCGCCAAAUCGAUUGGCUCGAAAAUGCAUUUGAGCAGCAAGAAGAAGAAUAAGGAUGGCGAUGAUGUAUCGAAUUUCAGCGGCUCAUUCGCGAGCAUCGGCACGCCGAACAGUUCGAAUGGCGGUAGUCAUCGUUAUGGUCAGCGUGCCGGUGAGGCUGAUCCUGGUGUCAUUAGUGAGGAUGAAGAUGAAUUCGUUUUUGACAAUUUGUCACACAAGAGCUCGGCGAGUUCAUUGAACAUACGUUCAAAUCUACAAGUGCCUACACAAAAUUUCGCACCACGUAAUCCCUCACCGCUGCUGGGCAAAGUCGGAGGUAAGCCGUUGUCUAGAAGAGAUUUGGUGGAGGAGGAUCUCGCCGUAGAUCCCGAGUUAGAGGAAUUAGAAAACGACUUCAGCGUCCGUGCACGAACACUGCCGCCGCCCUCGAAACCACCUCGCACACAACAACAAAUCAACGAUGCGGUAGCUGCGUCACCCAAACAGAAGGAUCAGUCACUAGACGAAUGGGAGUCGAAACUGUAUAAACAACACUUACAAAUUGGCAGUUCAGAUUCUUUGAAGCGACGUUCUUGGGAACAGUCACGAGUGCCGCUACCAACACCCAAUGAAGAGGUAGAGCAGGAACCAGAAGUGAAAGUGGAAGAGAAAAAUGAAGUAGAAAACAAGCAAGAGAAUGGCUAUCAGAAACAAGCAAAUGGUUUCAAUGUUGCAAAGUUUCCACAACGUAGCAAUGAGAGUGACUCUUCUUUGUCAUCUUCGGAUUUAGACGAGGAGGAAAGUAUGCCUGAACCAAUCAAAACUGAAGUCAAAGUUAUUCCCAAUAAAACACUAGAACUUAAUCUAUCCCCUACGCCCAUUGCAGCAACAAAAAAUAUAAGUCUUUUGUCCCCGGAUAAGGAGACAAAGGAUUUCAAAGAGCUUAACGCUUCAUUUGCGAAAUUCGAACAGCGCAAUAAGUCACAUUUAUUCGAUUUGGACGCAGAUAAAAAAUGGCAUACACAAUCCUUCAUUGCGGAAGAAUCCAGACCUCCUCCUGUGCCAAAGGCCAUGCCACGAAAUCGUGAACGAGAAGCAGAAAUAAAGCGCGCUGAAGAAGAGCAAGAAGCCGAACGCAUACGGCAGGCGGAGGCAGAGGCCAAAGCUGAAGCAGCUGCCAAAGCGGCAGCUGACGCCGAGGCCAAGGCCGCUGCACAAGCCGCACGCAAACGCCAAGCUGAACUUGAAGCAGCUUCCAUUGCCGCCGAAGUUGAACGUAACCGCCGUGAAGCAUCUGAACAAAAACAACAGCGCCGCGCUGCUGAGGAUGCGCGCCUAGAGGAAGAAUUGCGCAGGAAUGAACAGAAAUUACUAGAAGAAGAGGAAGCAUUGCAGGAGGAAUUGCGUCAACGUGAGGAGGAGAAGCGACGAGAGGCAAAAAGACGUGAAGAAGAUCAACGCAUUUUGAACUUUGCUAAGCGCUCUACAUCGCUGGAGGAAGAACAAAGUCCUUAUGGCACGCCUGAACAAUCGCCCAGCGAUACUUUGGCUGAGAAACGCGAACGACGUAUGGGCAAAUUCAAAUAUCUCAAUAAGCGAGAGAAAAGUGAAGAUAAUCGUUCCACGCCAAGUCCCAAAGCCAACGAACGCAUUAUUAUUGGCCACGAAAAGUCCACAUCACAUGCUGAACGGCGCUCGGAAAUAUCAGCAGCGCUCGCCAAGAAAUACGAGGGCAAAUCGCGAGAGGAGCUUAUGCUAAUAGCUAAUGGCAUGGAAAAUGAAGCGUUACUCCAACGUCAACGUGUGAAAGAGCUAGAAGAUUAUCUGGACAAUUUAUUGCUGCGUGUGAUGGAAACUCACCCGAAACUCUUACAAAAUCCUUACUCGCGCACUACAUCGGCUAAGAGUUUUAAAAACUACAUCAAUAUGAAUGACUUUUUGUAAAGAACCGAAUUUUGUGAAGCGCGAUGAAUUCCCAACCGAUUGGCUGUUUGCAUGUCAAAGCCAGCACAACGGCUGAACAACUUUAAGGAACAUCUUUUAAUUUUAAGCAAAUUUCAUGCGCGGCUGACCGGUAAUUCCAAGCGCCUUCCAGCUAAAGCGACAACAACACAAGCAUAUACAAAAUCAAAAAUCAUAAAAGUAAAUAAAAAGAGCGGAAUUAUCACCAAGUUGCCUUAGAGUGAAAAAUCCAAAGUGCUUUUUAUGCAAUGCGUAUUUAAUUAUGAAAGCUAAAAAAAUAUAUGUGUACAAGUUUAACAUAAUUUUUUGAAUCGAUGUCACUUUACUAGUUAGAAAUGAUGUUGUAUCUGCUAACACAGUUAAAUUAUUGUAAUAUAUUUUUUAAGUAAAGAAACAAAAAAAAA